rnacentral:sRNA from 1 species
UCGCCCACGCGUACGCUGCGGUUCUUCAGCGCCGUCCGCACCCACCUGGCGACUACUCGCUCGGUUGUGUGAGCC